AAGUCUGAUGGAGCAACGCCGCGUGAGUGAAGAAGGUUUUCGGAUCGUAAGGCUCUGUUGUUGGUGAAGAAGGAUAUGAGGUAGUGACUGGCCUUUAUUUGACGGUAAUCAACCAGAAAGUGGAGGCUAACUACGUGCCAGCAGCCGCGGUAAUACGUAGGUGGCAAGCGUUGUCCGGAUUUAUUGGGCGUAAAGCGAGCGCAGGCGGAAAAAUAAGUCUAAUGUGAAAGCGCUCGGCUUAACCGAGGAAUUGCAUCGGAAACUGUUUUACUUGAGUGCAGAAGGAGGAGAGUGGAACUCCAUGUGUAGCGGUGGAAUGCGUAGAUAUAUGGAAGAACACCAGUGGCGAAGGCGGCUCUCUGGUCUGCAACUGACGCUGAGGCUCGAAAGCAUGGGUAGCGAACAGGAUUAGAUACCCUGGUAGUCCAUGCCGUAAACGAUGAGUGCUAAGUGUUGGGAGGUUUCCGCCACUCAGUGCUGCAGCUAACGCAUUAAGCACUCCGCCUGGGGAGUACGACCGCAAGGUUGAAACUCAAAGGAAUUGACGGGGGCCCGCACAAGCGGUGGAGCAUGUGGUUUAAUUCGAAGCAACGCGAAGAACC
rnacentral:rRNA from 1 species